UUGCCAGCAUUCAGUUGGGCACUUUAAAGAGACUGCCGGUGUUAAACCGGAGGAAGGUGGGAUGACGUCAAGUCCUCAUGGCCUUUAUGCUUAGGGCUACACACGUGCUACAAUGGGUGGUACAAAGAGAAGCCAACUCGCGAGAGCGCGCCAAUCUCAAAAAGCCAUCCUCAGUUCGGAUUGGAGUCUGCAACUCGACUCCAUGAAGUUGGAAUCGCUAGUAAUCGCGGAUCAGCAUGCCCGCGGUCCGAAUACGUUCCGGGCCUU
rnacentral:rRNA from 1 species